AGAGCUAGGAGGACAGAGAGAGAGUGAAGCAGUAUUUCACUUGGUCAGGAAACCGUCUCCAAAAGAGGUCAGAGCCGUAUCAGGAGCCAAGCAGGAGUUGUGACAGGAGAGGAGAGCCAAUCAGAGGAGAGAGAUGUUGGUGCAGGGCGGGCCUUGGGUCCUGUCUGUCAUGUCAUUGCUCCUGCUGCGGUGGCAAGAAAUGUCUGCUAUCGAGGUUCCUCUUGAUCAAAAGAUCCAGCAGGAUUUGAAGCAGCCUCCCACCAUAAUGAAACAGUCAUUGAAGGACUACAUUGUUGAUCCCAGAGAUAACAUCAUCAUUGAAUGUGAG